AAAAUAACCUACACCCUGACAACUAGGCAGCCAAGAGUGUUGCACAAAUAAAUAAGCCUUUCUCUACAUGAAAAUCAACAUGGCAAGACAAUCUCCAUGGAUGCGUUUGCCAAAACUCCGAUCAUGGAGACGGUUUUCAAGGCUUGUUAAGGAGCAAAGAACUCGUCUGUAUAUCAUAUGGAGAUGCACGGUGAUUCUUCUGAGCUGGGAUGAGCACUAAUGAAUAUCAAAGUACAUGGUCAUAGUAUCUGCACGCAAAGCUGUUCAAUCCCGAGUCCUGAGGGAUUUUGUGUCAUCGUUUCAGGUCAAAGGUUGCAUGGUGAGGAUCAUAGGCAACAGAUCAUAUGCAAUUAGAUAAUUGAGACUGGCGUAGACAAGAGGCAUACCCAAGUGUCUUAAUUGGAACAAUAAUGUAAAGGAGUUUGUGUUUUUUCUUUCUCCCUGUUUCAUUUACACACACUAACCAAUCG
rnacentral:misc_RNA from 1 species